UACAAGCACCCCGAGUGGUCGGGACGAUUAUUGGGCCUAAAGCGUCCGUAGCCGGUCAUGCAAGUCUUCCGUUAAAUCCAGCCGCUCAACGGUUGGGCUGCGGAGGAUACUACGUGGCUAGGAGGCGGGAGAGGCAAGCGGUACUCAGUGGGUAGGGGUAAAAUCCUUUGAUCCAUUGAAGACCACCAGUGGCGAAGGCGGCUUGCCAGAACGCGCUCGACGGUGAGGGAUGAAAGCUGGGGGAGCAAACCGG
rnacentral:rRNA from 1 species